AUUCUGUAUACCUCCUUCUAAAAGGCAAAGCCCAAUUCCCUUUCUCUUGACUAUAGGCUGGGCUUUGUGACUCACUUUUAACCAACAGAAUAUGGCAGAAGUGACGAUGUGUGACAAGGUCAUAAAAGGCAUCACCACUUCCUCCUUGCUGUCUCUCUGUUCUCUUACUAUGGGGGAAGCUGCCAUGUUGUGAGGACAUUCAUGCAGCUCAUCAAUGAAGAGGUUCAUGUGCCAAGGAACUCAGGCCUCCUGCCAAUAACCAGCACUACUUUGCCAGACACAUGUGUGAGCUACCUUGGAGACAAAUCCUCCAGCCCCAGUCAAGCCUUCAGAUGAUUACAGCCUGGCUAAUAUCUUGACUGAACUUCAUGUGAGACCUUGGGUCAGAAUCAUCUAGCUAAGACAUUCCUGGAUUCCUGCCCCACAGCAAUUACAAAAAGACAUUUACAAAAGAGAGGCGAAGAGCUGACAAGUUAUAUCACUUCCUCAAGCUCAGAAAGUCAUUCACCACCCAGCCAUUAAAUUAACAAAUGUUUAUGAAGAGCCUUGUACUCCUGACAGCAAGCUCGACGCUAGAGCUACUGUUUAGAACAAGACCCAGCAGAGCCCUGCCUCUCCGUGCGAGUCUCAUUCUUCUUGGCGUCCCAGGAAUCGCCCUAACCCGCCUACCUAGCAGCGCUCCCCGCUGGUUACCCUCCCACCAGCAUUCAGCCCAAGUAAGACGCGCGCAGUGUGGAUAGACCCGGUCCAGUACACAAAUGCGACAUAAAAGGUCAACAAAAGGAAGAAAAACACCAAGCAAGGAUCCUAGGGGGCCAAGGGCUGAGCCACAACGCACCGCAACUCCAGAAAACCGGGUCUCGGCCACGGUUCCCAGCCCUCUGACCCCCCCGUUCCUACGCCACGCUCCGCCCGACUCCCGGCCCCGCCCACCGCGUCGUUGGCGUAGUUCCCUCGACUCCCUCUCACCCGCCCGGGCUCCACCUUCUGCAGUAGAUCCGAGUGCCGCUCCAAGGCCCUUGCGAAGCCGCCUGGGCGCGUCUUAGGCUCCGUGGCAUCGGAACUCCCACUUUCGGAUCCGCUCUCAGUCCCUACGCCCCGAAAGGGCCUAGAGAAGAGAAACAUUCGCGGAAAAUGUCUCUCGGCAGCCACGGCACGGGUCAGACACAGCGCCGCCAUGACUUUUUUUACCUCUGACCUUUGACCUUCCGCCGCAAGCGCGCGGGUCACGGGGCGGAGCGACGUGAGGUCCGCCCACCGGCCGAGGAGCUCAGAGGGCCAGCGGGGCAUAAUCUGCCUUGAUCUUGGAGUGGCGUGGGACUGGAGAGACGCUAAAAUUGAUGGGCUAAAGAGUUGCAAAGGGGCCCGGAAUAUGAUCAGAAAAAGAAAGAAGCCAAAGAGAAAGGCACUUGGGUUCAACUGAAGCGCCAGCCUGCUCCACCCAGAGAAGCACACUGUGUGAGAACCAAUGGGAAGGAGCCUGAGCUACUGGAGCCCAUUCCAUAUGAAUUCAUGGCAUAAUACGUGUUAAUAAAAGACCUCUGGACUAUGAAAA